GAGAGGGUUCAUUGGAAAAGGGGGUGGGGGCAGUGAGAGCUUGUGAGAAAUGCGUGGUGGUGCACAGAGCUGGCUCUGAUGGCUGCCUAUAAGUGAAGUUAUUACAUCACUUCCAACUGAUCCACGGCCACUGCCAGGGUGAGGCCAGCCAAGGCUAACCACCAGCACAGUGGAAAGCAACCGCCACAUACACCAAACACACAUCACCGCCAGAAGCAGCCUCAGUGACUGCUUCAGUAACCCCAUGGCAACGUGUGACCCAGAAUAGUUGCAAAUGUUUUGGGAAGAGGAGGGGAGGGUUGAUAAAUUGGGCUACCUUCAGCGCCCCCCCUCCCCUCCAUCUGCUCUCGUUGUGUCUUGCGCAAAAUGUGACACGCAUAAGAAAAAGGGGGAAUUCCAGGAAGCCGGGCAGAGCGAGCAACAUUACACAAUGUCGACCGAUUGCUGCCCAUUGCAUCAUCGCCCUGCAUCUUUCGUCUCUUCACAGGCUAACUCUGGGAACUGCCAAAGUGGCAGUGGACGAAAUAAAGCAGGAACUUCGCUUCGGGAUGGGUGACAAUAAAAAGGAGACGUCUUCUCGUAACUGCUGCUCGAGCUGAGGGUUUUACGGAAGCAGAGCAGAAGCUGGGAGACGAAUGUAGAGCGAGACAACUCCCCCAAACCCUAAAGUUGCUUACAAAACAGAACGAGCUACGAGAGGAUACGACUUCUGCAAGCCGAAAGUAUUUAAGGACCAGCGAGGCAGAGCGUCUGCGUGCGUGUGUGUGAGAGUGAGAGAUGCAGGCUGCCUGAAUGAAGACAUUGAGGGGAUUUCCUGGUGCCGAGAGACGCAUCAUGCCAAAGGCAUCCGGCAGGAUUAGCGGCUGGAGCCAAACAUGUCCUCACUCUGCAGCGCAGCUACGGCAGUCAUGCAGAGACAGCUCGUAGACUUAAACCCAUUUCACGAGACAGAAUGUCAAACAGCUGUGGUUCAGGAAGACUAAAGGAAGUGUUUCGGCUUUGCCAGCAAGCUGUUUAUCCAUGAAGAGCGUCUCGGUUCCUGGCUUUUGAUGCUCACAGAGGCUAACCUCGGGCUCUGCUGCUGCUGACGGCAUUGUCCUUACAGUCAAACAAGCCGUGCAGACAAAGCUCAAUCAGGACAACUUCCUCUUGGUUUCUGGAGCAGCGGGGGCCAGACCUCACUGCACUUUCACAGAUAAACACUGCACUUCACAAACUAGACUGCGAUUCACCAUGAAGACACAGUUUGACUUUGCACUGUCUCCUCAGUUGUAACGCUACUCUGCAACAUGUGCUCCAGGACUCACUGCAGAGUAUUACUGACACGGGAUUCUGAGCGGCUCUGCUGGAUAAACUAUGUGAUCGUCACGACAAGUAUCAGUUUCUGCAUUAUGGUCUGUAAAGGGAAAAGUUGUGUUAUUAGAAACGCCUAAGAAUAAAUCCAAUAAAUCCCUGACAGGCCAUUUUACUCUAGUAGGUUCCCGCCACACUCUGUGCCACCGGGACAACAUUGCCUCGAUAGCACAUACAUGAACACUCACGCUCACUCGGUGAAAACAACAGCAGCCAUGUUAUCACAGCUGGUAAUCAAGCAAUAUAAAAAAAUAUAUUAAAAAAAACAUGGAUUCAAGAGAAACUAAUCCUCCCAUCUCUCUGUGAGUCACAGUAACCUUUGAGAGGCCAGCUUUUCCUCAGUGGGCAUCUGGAAAGCAGUGAAGCUCCUGUGAAUUCAGCAUAUGAUAGCACGGGUUUACGGUCAUCGUGGAGCGGCCAGCGUGAGGUAAAGGAAGCCGUGAUGCUGAACUAAUGACCGGCAAAGCCUCCCGUGUGACACUGAGAGGUGACACCAUGAUGUUAAAAGGAGUGAACAUAACUUUCUCAUAAGUAAACUGCAGGGGGGGAUGAUAAUGUUAAUAUUAAUAAUAAUAAUACAAUCUGCAUGAGCAAACUCUGUAGCACAUGACAUACUCCCAUGCAGUACUCAAAGGUUUUUCAGAUUAAAAUGAGACGCUGUGAAACUCUGCUUAACAGACUUUCACUUGUUUUUUUUUCCCCUCCCUGACCUUUGUCUUCAUUAGUCCCAUCAAAAUGCAAUUAAUAACCCAGCACGUUUGUCUCUGGCACCAUUCACUGUGGGAUUCUGUCCUCUUAUCAGCACAGUGGUUUGUUUUGCUAGAGGCACGCCAGCCAUAUCUGUGGGUGGUUUCCACUUGACAGUUUGACUCUCACUUUAAGGCUAUUCCUGAGCUCCAGGGCACGCCACGGCGAUGAUGAACUCAUCCAUCAGGGUGCCGCUCAGGCUCCUUCUCGUGAGUGCACUUCCUAUUGAUUUGAUUUGAUGAAGACGGUGGCCUCAUUAAGAUGUAAUUUAGCGCAUCAUCUCAGAGAUCUGCCGUCUCUGGAUGAAGCUCACCUGCAUCCUCGUCGCUUUCUCACCGCCUCAGGAAGGCAGAAAAAUCUCCUCGAAACCAAAAACAAAAGGGCAGGAAACCAAAAAAGUAACACACGAAGGACUUUUCAGGACAAGAACACUGAGGUUUCCUCUUUUCAAGAAAAACACCAGCUAAAGUAACCACAGUGAAUCACAGAGGACUGGAAAACUGACAGCAGAGAGAGAGAGAGCGAGGAAGGACACGGGCUAUGAAUGACUCUACAAUCACAUAUGAUGGCAAUGACUUUCCAGCAAUAAGACAUGCAAUUUAUGUCCUUAGACGUUGCUCAAUCCAUGUGGAAGAGUGCUGUGCACUGGAAACGACCACUUAGCAAAAAGCAAACUUCCCCCCUCCCCACUAUUUUCUUUUUGUUGCAACAGAAACAGUUUGUUGUGUCUUUAAAACUUUAUUGUGUCUCCUUCCUUGUCCAAAUCCAAAUUCAGCAACAUAACAGCUGCACUGAAAUCACCUGGAGGCUCUCAAACUAACACUUUCCACUUGCAGGAAGGCCUACCUGUAAAUGCACUGCACAUGAUUUGUGUUACGAGCACUCACUUAAAAAGAAGCUAUAAUAACAUCACUAAUAUCUGCAAAUCUACUGUACUGUUGUCGAGUUUUAUUUCCUAUAAAUGAGAAAUAAUAGUAACAAGCGGUGCUCACAAUCAGGGGGAAAAACCCACAG